rnacentral:rRNA from 1 species
GACGAACGCUGGCGGCGUGCCUAAUACAUGCAAGUAGAACGCUGAAGAGAGGAGCUUGCUCUUCUUGGAUGAGUUGCGAACGGGUGAGUAACGCGUAGGUAACCUGCCUUGUAGCGGGGGAUAACUAUUGGAAACGAUAGCUAAUACCGCAUAACAAUGGAUGACUCAUGUCAUUUAUUUGAAAGGGGCAAUUGCUCCACUACAAGAUGGACCUGCGUUGUAUUAGCUAGUAGGUGAGGUAAUGGCUCACCUAGGCGACGAUACAUAGCCGACCUGAGAGGGUGGUCGGCCAAACUGGGACUGAGACACGGCCCAGACUCCUACGGGAGGCAGCAGUAGGGAAUCUUCGGCAAUGGGGGCAACCCUGACCGAGCAACGCCGCGUGAGUGAAGAAGGUUUUCGGAUCGUAAAGCUCUGUUGUAAGUCAAGAACGGGUGUGAGAGUGGAAAGUUCACACUGUGACGGUAGCUUACCAGAAAGGGACGGCUAACUACGUG